CAGACGGGAGGCAGCAGGGAGGAAUAUGGGGCAAUGGAAGAGAGGAGGAACAAGAAAAGGAGAGGGAAGGAGGACGGCCCGAGGGGGGGUAAACUUCUUUUAUAAAGGAAUAAAACGAGGCACGUGUGCCUUUUUGCAUGUACUUUAUGAAUAAGGAUCGGCUAACUCCGUGCCAGCAGCCGCGGUAAUACGGAGGAUCCGAGCGUUAUCCGGAUUUAUUGGGUUUAAAGGGAGCGUAGAUGGGUUGUUAAGUCAGUUGUGAAAGUUUGCGGCUCAACCGUAAAAUUGCAAUUGAUACUGGCAGUCUUGAGUACAGUUGAGGUAGGCGGAAUUCGUGGUGUAGCGGUGAAAUGCUUAGAUAUCACGAAGAACCCCGAUUGCGAAGGCAGCUUACUAAACUGUGACUGACAUUGAUGCUCGAAAGUGUGGGUAUCAAACAGGAUUAGAUACCCCUGUAGUC
rnacentral:rRNA from 1 species